UACGGAGGGUGCAAACGUUGCUCGGAUUCAUUGGGCGUAAAGGGCGCGUAGGCGGCGGGGUAAGUCUGGUGUGAAAUCUAGGAGCUCAACUCCUAAACUGCACUGGAUACUGCUCUGCUAGAGGACUGGAGAGGAGACUGGAAUUCACGGUGUAGCAGUGAAAUGCGUAGAUAUCGUGAGGAAGACCAGUGGCGAAGGCGGGUCUCUGGACAGUUCCUGACGCUGAGGCGCGAAGGCCAGGGGAGCAAACGGG
rnacentral:rRNA from 1 species